AAGAAAAGGAAACUCUUAAAUGUUUACGCAAAACCUAACUACCAGUUUGCAAGCAUUUCAGGUGGUUGAAAAAGCAUAGGCUUGACAGGGAAGAAGUAUGGUAAGUAGAUAUACUAUUUCCAGUAAACAAAGCAGAGGUCAGUGACUUCUGAGGUCAUAAUCAAGAUAAAGAAUGCUUAUGGAUGCUUUGCGUAGAUCUCAGGUUUGCCAUUCAUUCAUUCCCUUUAUUUUUAAUAGGGGAAUUUUAAAAGAGGAGAAAGAACAGAGGGAAUUGAGGCUAAGAAGUAAAGAGAAAAGUAAAGUCAUUUGGACCAAAAGGGUUGAGAACCCUGGGGCAGAGAGAAAAAGGGCAUGGUAACGUUCAAGAACUAAAACAAGUCCAGAGUGGCUGGAACAUGGGGAAUAGGUACCUUCAGCUUUUUUGCAUCCAGAGAAGCUCUGAACCUGUAUCAUGAUCAUCCAUAUGCUGUGUGACCUUGUAUUAACUGUAGGAAGACAGUUCUUCUCUAAGGUAAUCCCAGGGUUACCUGAAACGUUCAGAAGAGCAACAGAUUCCUGGAGUCUUCUGAGUGCCAAAUGCCAAUUUCAAUGUUCCACUCUGGAAAAAAUAGGACAGGAGGAAUUAGAAGUCUCCGAGACUACAUUCUGCCUCUGUACUUCCCAAGACGGAGCUUCCUGGCUGCUGCUUCCUCCCACCCAAGAAUCUCCCCUCCACCUCUGUCCAUGCCCUGCUCCUAGAGUCUCCAUUUGAGAACAGGAAUGGAAUGGAGAGAAUGGAAGCCAA